ACGAACGCUGACGGCGUGCUUAACACAUGCAAGUCGAACGGAAAGGCCCUGCUUUUGUGGGGUGCUCGAGUGGCGAACGGGUGAGUAACACGUGAGUAACCUGCCCUUGACUUUGGGAUAACUUCAGGAAACUGGGGCUAAUACCGGAUAGGAGCUCCUGCUGCAUGGUGGGGGUUGGAAAGUUUCGGCGGUUGGGGAUGGACUCGCGGCUUAUCAGCUUGUUGGUGGGGUAGUGGCCUACCAAGGCUUUGACGGGUAGCCGGCCUGAGAGGGUGACCGGCCACAUUGGGACUGAGAUACGGCCCAGACUCCUACGGGAGGCAGCAGUGGGGAAUAUUGCACAAUGGGCGGAAGCCUGAUGCAGCAACGCCGCGUGCGGGAUGACGGCCUUCGGGUUGUAAACCGCUUUCGCCUGUGACGAAGCGUGAGUGACGGUAAUGGGUAAAGAAGCACCGGCUAACUACGUG
rnacentral:rRNA from 1 species